rnacentral:tRNA from 1 species
GGAGGGUUAGCUCAGUGGUAGAGCACAUGCUUAGCAUACACAAGGUCCUGGGUUCAAUCCCUAGUACCUCCU